GACAGAGGAUGCGAGCGUUAUCCGGAAUGAUUGGGCGUAAAGCGUCUGUAGGUGGCUUUUCAAGUCCGCCGUCAAAUCCCAGGGCUCAACCCUGGACAGGCGGUGGAAACUACCAAGCUGGAGUACGGUAGGGGCAGAGGGAAUUUCCGGUGGAGCGGUGAAAUGCAUUGAGAUCGGAAAGACCCCCACCGGCGAAAGCACUCUGCUGGGCCGACACUGACACUGAGAGACGAAGGCUAGGGGAGCAAAUGGG
rnacentral:rRNA from 1 species